rnacentral:rRNA from 1 species
AUGCAUUGCUAUGUAGAGUUUUCGAAGUAUCCAAAGUGGCAGACAAGAGAAGUUGAAACUUCUCUUAAGAAACAAAAGAAGACCAUUGAUGCAAGUCCAGGCACAGCCACCAAUGAUUCGGCUGAUGCAUCCUCGGUACGUACUGAUGCUACCUCGAUACACACUGAUGCUCUUGAACAUGAGAAAAGACCUGAUGGUGUGAAGAGGGACAAGAGAGGUAAAGCUGAUGACAGUGCUUGCAAGCUGUCAUUAGAAACUGUGUGGGCAGCAAAGCUAGAGAAGGAUGAGAUCAAAGAGGCGGCAAGAAAUGCUCGCUACGCACAGCAAUUGGAAUUGCGAAAAGAGGAGAUUGCACUCAAAAAGAAUGAGGAUGCACGAAACGAGAGGGAGGAUGCACGGAGACAGUUUGAAUUAGAUGAGAGGGUCAUGCUCAUCGACACAAGUGGUAUGACUGAUGUUCAAAAGCAGUUCUACCAAGCUAAGCAGAAGGAGAUCCUUGCUCGUGGCCUAGGGUAA